rnacentral:rRNA from 1 species
CAGCAGCCGCCGCGGUAAUACGAGGGGUGCAAGCGUUAUUCGGAUUGAUUGGGUGUAAAGGGUGUGCAGACGGCUUAUUAAGUCACUUGUUAAAUUCUUCGGCCUAACUGAAGGUCUGCAAGUGAUACUGAUGAGCUAGAGGGUGGAAGAGAGAAGUGGAAUUCUCGGAGUAGCGGUAAAAUGCGUAGAUCUCGAGAGGAACACCAAUGGCGAAGGCAGCUUCUUGGUCCAUUCCUGACGUUCAUACACGAAAGCGUGGGGAGCAAACAGGAUUAGAUACCCCCGUAGUCCCUGUCUCUUAUAC